AUAAAAGGUACUCCGGGGAUAACAGGCUGAUACCGCCCAAGAGUUCAUAUCGACGGCGGUGUUUGGCACCUCGAUGUCGGCUCAUCACAUCCUGGGGCUGAAGUAGGUCCCAAGGGUAUGGCUGUUCGCCAUUUAAAGUGGUACGCGAGCUGGGUUUAGAACGUCGUGAGACAGUUCGGUCCCUAUCUGCCGUGGGCGCUGGAGAACUGAGGGGGGCUGCUCCUAGUACGAGAGGACCGGAGUGGACGCAUCACUGGUGUUCGGGUUGUCAUGCCAAUGGCACUGCCCGGUAGCUAAAUGCGGAAGAGAUAAGUGCUGAAAGCAUCUAAGCACGAAACUUGCCCCGAGAUGAGUUCUCCCUGACUCCUUGAGAGUCCUGAAGGAACGUUGAAGACGACGACGUUGAUAGGCCGGGUGUGUAAGCGCAGCGAUGCGUUGAGCUAACCGGUACUAAUGAACCGUGAGGCUUAACCUUACAACGCCGAAG
rnacentral:rRNA from 1 species